rnacentral:lncRNA from 1 species
AACUAUGCAAUUGCGAGAGAGGAUCGAUGCUCUACUUGAAACAGCAUAAUGAAUAAUGGUUAGUUGCUGUAGCAGUGUGUUCUACUUUAAAAGGAAGGGAACUAAAAUGAAACAACAUUUGAUAUUCAGUGAGAUCUGCAUAAAAGAAAAAAAGGACCUAGAAAAUCUGCAAUCCUGUACUGUAAGAGUGAAAUCUUCAGACCAUUAUUGCCUUGGUUUGUAAUAUAACAUUUGUUCAAGCUAAACUUGAACUACUUUUGAUCUGGGACUGGAUAUUGAACUAGAAAAGCUAUUGUUUUCUGGUUUUUGUGGUGUGAUUGGUUAAACUAUCAGUCCAACUGGUCCUUUAUGCAUUGCAGGAAUAAUUUGAUGUGGAACUAGUAAUUAUAUAAGCUUAUAUAUCUUCCGCGUACACACAAUAAGUGAAUGCAAUAUAAUUGUGCUGAAAUCUUAGCUUCUACAACAAAAUAUCACUUUAAUCUGAGGUAUUUCUCUAGAUCUAAUGCUACAAACAGUUUCUGGUGGAAGCCGUAUUAGAAACCAUAACCUAAAAUCAUGUAUUCCCGAUAACCUAUCAAUUUGAAUAAUAUAAGUAUUUGAUUUGGUUAUUAUGGAAUCUUUUUGACUUGAGUUUUUAUGACUAUUUGAUUAUCGAGAUAUGUUACUUUAGCGGCUUGUUUGAUUUAUUCAUAUGUUAGGAAACAAAGAUGUAGUUCCAAUCAACUUUGUUGCAGUGUGCAAUAGGUACUUAUCUUGGUUGAGGUGUCAAAAUGAAAACUGGAGUCAACUUUGACGGGCCGUAUAUCUAUUUUGCCUAGUUUCUUUCUCUCUGAACAUACAUGUAUGUAUAUCCAUAAAGCCAUGCUGUUGCUUUUCCUCUACCUUUCCCCUCUUUAGGUGAGUCACUAAGGAACAUAACUUAGAAAAUCCUGAGACUCAUUUUUCUUUAUCCAAUUAAAUGAUGAUGUUGAACAUUCUCUUUAUUAUUGCAAUACUUCUUAAAAAGACUAUCGACCUGUUUAGUCAAGGUCAACUUCUUGUUUGCUUAGAAUGAUAUGCUUUCUUCUUCAAUGAAACAGAAAGAAGUGAACUGAUGAACAUUGGUUCAGCUAUAUGAAAGGCAGAUUUCUUUUUCUUUUUUCCUUUGUUAUUUCAUUAUCCAAUUCCGGGUGAGUUUGAGGCCUCCGGUGCCUUUAAUUUGAUAUUGACCUGUAUAUAAGUAUGUACGGCAGAUGUUAGAAAAGAAAUCCCCAAUAAUAUAAAGCAUGAAAGAGUUAUAUGUAAAGCUUCAUCUAUUGUGGCCAAGCGAAACUAUGCAAUUGCGAGAGAGGAUCGAUGCUCUACUUGAAACAGCAUAAUGAAUAAUGGUUAGUUGCUGUAGCAGUGUUCUACUUUAAAAAGAAGGGAACUAAAAAUGAAACAACAUUUGAUAUUCAGUGAGAUCUGCAUAAAAGAAAAAAAGGACCUAGAAAAUCUGCAAUCCAGUACUGUAAGAGUUAAAUCUUCAGACCAUUAUUGCCUUGGUUUGUAAUAUAACAUUUGUUCAAGCUAAACUUGAACUUCUUUUGAUCUGGGACUGGAUAUUGAACUAGAAAAACUAUUGUUUUCUGGUUUUUGUGGUGUGAUUGGUUAAACUAUCAGUCCAACUGGUCCUUUAUGCAUUGCAGGAAUAAUUUGAUGUGGAACUAGUAAUUAUAUAAGCUUAUAUAUCUUCCGCGUACACACAAUAAGUGAAUGCAAUAUAAUUGUGCUGAAAUCUUAGCUUCUACAACAAAAUAUCACUUUAAUCUGAGGUAUUUCUCUAGAUCUAAUGCUACAAACAGUUUCUGGUGGAAGCCGUAUUAGAAACCAUAAC